rnacentral:lncRNA from 1 species
ACUUCUUCGCCCCUGCGCAUGAAAGUGAAGCGGUUCCGUAUUUUCGUUCGUGCUGUUUAUCGAGCCGCUACUGUGCCUGCUGCUCGUCGGAUAUCCAGGAAAGCACAAAAUAUAUAUGGUUUUAUUUAUUGCUGCAGUUGUUCGCCAGCUGUGGACGCGGCUUUGGUUUGUUAAAGCAAAAUCUGCAGAAGCUCCUUACCUGCAGCAUGCGGAGGCACGCCUUCAUACUCGCAUUCUCUGUACUUUGGACCGGGAACAUUGUCCUGGCCAAACUUGGUGCUCCUGGAGGACCACUCAAGCUGCCCUACGAUGAACCAGACGCUUUUCAGGUGAUGACAUUGUAUCCAGAUGCCGUGGCAAUUUCCGACUCGGACAAUGACACCAUCUUCGAGUGCCUUGCGGCUUACCGCAUAAACCUUGAUUACGAGGCAGGAACAGCCACGUACGCCUGGACCUUUAACGAAGCAGGUGGCUCGUCUAUG